UACGAAGGGGGCUAGCGUUGUUCGGAAUUACUGGGCGUAAAGCGCACGUAGGCGGAUCGAUCAGUCAGGGGUGAAAUCCCAGGGCUCAACCCUGGAACUGCCUUUGAUACUGUCGAUCUGGAGUAUGGAAGAGGUGAGUGGAAUUCCGAGUGUAGAGGUGAAAUUCGUAGAUAUUCGGAGGAACACCAGUGGCGAAGGCGGCUCACUGGUCCAUUACUGACGCUGAGGAGCGAAAGCCAGGGGAGCAAACGGG
rnacentral:rRNA from 1 species